UUGAACGCUGGCGGCAGGCCUAACCCAUGCAAGUCGAGCGGUAACAGAUUGAUUGCUUGCUAUCAAUGCUGACGAGCGGCGGACGGGUGAGUAAUGCCUGGGAAUAUACCCUGAUGUGGGGGAUAACUAUUGGAAACGAUAGCUAAUACCGCAUAAUCUCUUGUCUUUUACGAGAUGGGAGCAAAGAGGGGGACCUUCGGGCCUCUCGCGUCAGGAUUAGCCCAGGUGGGAUUAGCUAGUUGGUGGGGUAAUGGCUCACCAAGGCGACGAUCCCUAGCUGGUCUGAGAGGAUGAUCAGCCACACUGGAACUGAGACACGGUCCAGACUCCUACGGGAGGCGGCAGUGGGGAAUAUUGCACAAUGGGGGAAACCCUGAUGCAGCCAUGCCGCGUGUAUGAAGAAGGCCUUCGGGUUGUAAAGUACUUUCAGUUGUGAGGAAGGCGUUGGAGUUAAUAGCUUCAGCGCUGGACGUUAGCAACAGAAGAAGCACCGGCUAACUCCGU
rnacentral:rRNA from 1 species